rnacentral:lncRNA from 12 species
GCUUGAACAUGCAUGUGUGUGUGUGUGUGCGCGCUCUCUCUCUGUUUUUAAAAAAAGAAGUUCAUACCUUUAAUCUUGACAUUUGUGAGUGCUCAGUUUUUUGUUUUUUUUUUUUUUCUGGUUUCCUUUUCCUUAUCUUAUGCUGCCAUUAACCUCAUUCUUACUCCAUGGCUGCAGAACCUGUUGAUAAAUUGUUAGAAGGAUUAUUUAUUGGUGUUGAUUUAGAGCAGUUCUGCCUCCCUGCAAGGACAGAAUAUUCGACAAAAGUUGACUGUUCCCAUAGUGGCGAUUUUGCUACUUCUUUCAGAUGCCGUGAUUAUCUGUGUAAUGUCCAUCCACGUUGGAAAACAGAACAAGAAAAGGUUUGGUUGUAUUUUCUUUAUGUGGAGAGUGCUUGUGUUGCUGAAUGCUGUGAUCACUUGUCUCCUUUGGUCUCUAUUGCUCUCCAAGUUCAAGAUUUUUCCAUCAUGAUCAAGUAACCAUUAGUCAGCUUCUGUGAGUCCUUGCUACCAUCGCCCUCUUCAAGGCUUGACUUUUCAUUCAAGGGGAAGAUGGGACAAGUCAGCUGAUCCCAACCUACCAAUAUUCUCCAGCCAUCUAUGGGUUGGACCACAGUCUGUCAGGUGACCACAUGCCAGAGCUUAGAGACUGGGGUUCCACCGGUGUCUAGGGAAUGUGACCCAGCCAGCUGUGUAGGGAUGGCUGUGACAACUGUUGCAACUUCUGGCCCCUUCUCCAGAAGGAGUUGUACAUGUGAUCGACACUCAGAAGAUUCUAUUUCUUAAACAGGCUUAGUAUUUCAGUGUUAAAUUAUUUUCUAAUUUUGUAAAGUUAGAAAUCCAGAUAUCACAUGUCAGCUGUAUUAACUUGAAUUUUAUGUCUGUUAGAAUAUUAUCCAGGAAUGGUAGUGGACGCUUUACUUAACAAAUGCUAACUUUAUGAAGCCCUUACCCUUGCUAAUCUCCUUUCAUCUUCAGAAGUGCUCUGUAAGGGAUUCUUAGCCCCAUUUCACAGGUGAAACAAAACAAAAUGAAACAAAACCCUAAGGCUCCAUGGGGCUUAUUAUCUCGUUUAAAGUCACAUGAUCAUCGCUGAUCCAGAAUGUGGACGCCAGAUCUCCAUGCUUGUACUUGAACAUGCAACCAUGGGCAACGGAGGGUUUCAUCAAUGAUCAAUUACUUGAUCACCCUUUUUUUCUAGGAUACCAAUCAGCGUUUUGUGUGAGUUUUAUCUUCGUCACAUUUUGGAGUGAGUUUGGAUAUUUUGCAAGUGAAGGGGUGAGUAGUGAGGCUGAAGCACAUCCUGAACUUGAGCAUUUGCCAAUAUUCUGGCCUUACUAAAUGUAUACAAAACAGUGGGAGCCAUGAACUUAACAUUUGCUGAACCUGAAACUCCUUGCAGAAGAAAAAUUAAAACCUGACCUGAUUUCUUUCCCUUUUUCCUUUAGAAGCCAACUGGAGUCACAAUUGCAUUUGUAAUUCAAUGAUCAUUUAAAAACUCACUCUAGCUUCUCCUAUGAUGUUCCUCUUCUUUUAUCUGGAACUUCGGGUUCCUCUCUCCCGUUUCCUGGGAUUUGUAAAGCAGCAGAAUCAGCCAGUUCACAUUUAAGAUGUUUUGAUUCUCUUCCUCAGACUCUUGCCAGUGUACUUAACACAGAAUGAUUAAAAGCUGUGUGUUCUGUUAGAACUGUUAUAGUGUUUAAACAAGGAAGUCUGUGUUUGUUUAAGAGAAUGGGGAAAUGGUUAUCUUGACAGAUUAGACUGCAAAAACAGGACAGCCACAGUCUAGCACAGAUGUCCACAUUUGCCACUUGGCUGGCUUUUGGAGGUAUCUGAAACAAAAGUCGCCUGUGUGCCCGGGGCCUGGGCCCUGCCUGACACCUGACCGAGGGCGUGAUGAGGGGCCACUGCCAGCCCUGCGUGUCUCUGCGGGCAAAUGUUCUCAGGCUGGCAAUUUUGCAGAGUCUCGUUCGCUGUGUCAUAAUUAAAGUCAUGGAACACAAGAGGGAUUUCUCCAGUGUUCUUAAAGACCCCGCUCGAACGCCACUUCGUCUCACAUCGCAGGCAGUUCCCGUGGCUUCUCUGCGAAGUCAAGAGGCUGCAGGCUUGGCGCAUUCAUCAGUCUCUUACAAAUGUGAUCUCAAAGACGAGAUGCCACAUUAGGGGCAGCCGUGGUUAAGUGCAACUGGCCCCGGAUGAGAAUUCAGGAAACCUGACUGAAGCCCUGACGCUCCCACUUCCCAACGGCCUGAAGUGGGCCGAGUCUUUAUUGGCCCCCAUCGGGGCUGAAGGAGCUGUUGUUGGUGCAGCUGCAGAGGGCCCGUGGCUGGCGCCCGCGAGGAGCUGGCCCGCAGGCUCGGGGAAGCUGGCACUGUGCUCACAGUCAUAUACUGGUCAAUAGGUAGCCUACUUAGCGGGAGGGUUGAACCCAGACUUUGUUGGAUCUUGGCUUUCCCGGGCAACAGCAUCUUCAAGGUAACUUCCUUCCAGCUGUGAAAUUGAGCAUUGUGAAAUCCGAAUGCAUCAACGUCAUGUUCAAUAUGUCUGCAAGUACAGAAAAAAAGACAAAGGCUCAGUCUUGGUUGGUUGUAAUUAUGCGUAUAUGUGGAUGUCUGUGUCCUUUGCCUGGAUGGACGGCGGUUUGCCAUCAAUAUUAACAUGAUGUUCUUAAUUAUAAACUUUAUGUCAGUAGAGGGACACCUGGAUGGCUCAGUGGUUGAGCAUCUGCCUUGGCUUAAGGCGUGAUCCUGGGGUCCUGAGAUCAAGUCCUGCAUCGGGCUCCCUGCAGGGAGCCUGCUUCUCCCUCAGCCUGUGUCUCUGCCUCUCUCUCUGUCUCUCAUGAAUAAAUAAAAUCUUUAAAAAAUAAACUUUAUGGCA